GAGGAGGCCUUUCCCAAGCUCACACCUGGAUGGCUCCCUCUCCUGCCUAAGUUCCCCAUGGCCAAUGCCCAGAAUGCCCUGCUGGCCCUGCCCCCUCCCCAGCCUCAGCCGGACUUCUUUAUUCCCCAAAUGCACAAGAUGCUUGGUAUGUAUCACGGCUGUCAUUUAACUUUUAUUAAAUCUUUAAUGCCAAUCUCCCUUCCACAACAGUAAGCUCUAUGAGAGAAAGACCCCUGUCUGUGAUUUGCUCCCAAGUGCUCAGCACCAAGUCCAGCGUGUGAUGGGUGCUCAAUGAAUCUCCGUGGCAUAGAUGGACAACCUAGCGUGCAGAGAAAGAGGAGGGCAUGAGAAAAUGUGUCUUACCGGUUCAAGUCAGAGCAGUCCAAGGCCUUCAUCGCCAUGGGCACACCACAUCCACCGUAAAUCCCAGUGGAGGACAAGUCAAGUCCACAGACACUCACCACUCACCAAGCCUUCACCAAGACCCAGGCACUUGUGGGACACUCCCAGGACGGCAGCUUACAGUAGAGAGAUGACAUAUUUG
rnacentral:lncRNA from 1 species